GAUAUAGCUCAGUGACAGAGCAUCUGCUUUGCAUGCAGAAGGUCCCAAGUUCAAUCCCCAGGUAGGGCUG